NNNNNNNNNNNNNNNNNNNNNNNNNNNNNNNNNAUUGGGGUCUUGAAGUUUGUCUUAUCCUACAGGGUUUGUGAGAAGGGAAAACUAAGCAGGGGUAGUGGGGAUCCCUCCUCACUCAGAUUUCUGACUGGAAAAGGGAGAAAAAAACCAUAGAGAUGGCAAAAAGUGCCCAGGAACAACAUCCCAACACCAAGAAAAGUAAGAAGAAGGGGUUGACUUGGGAUACUUUUUACAGAGAAAAAAUACAGAAUACAGAGGAAAUAGCAGAAGAGGAAACACAAACAAAUGCUCCAAAACCUUCCAAAAGAAAUGGAAAUUGUACACAAGCUCUUGAAAAAUUUAAAUUGGAGAUUAUCAAAAAGAUGGAAGCCUUCUGGCAGGAAAAAUGGGAAAUAAUGCAAAGGGAAUUCAACAAUCUGAGGGACAAAAACACCCAACUGGAGAAACAGCUUGAAGCCUCAAAAAGGAAGACAGACCAAACUGAAAAGGAAAACCAGUCUUUAAAGGUCAGAAUCAGGAAACUGGAAGAUCUUGCAAAAGAGCAAGAAUCAAUAAAGCAAAGUCAAAAGACUAAGAAAUUAGAUCACAUGAAAUAUCCAACUGACAAGGUGACAGACCUGGAAAACAGGGGAAGGAGAGACAAUCUGAGAAUCAUUGGUCUAUCUGAAAAGCCAGAAAUAAAGAGAAAUCUUGAUAUCAUAAUACAAGAUAUCAUCCAAGAAAACUGCCCUGAGGUUCUAGAACAAGGAGGCAAAAUAGGCAUUGAAAGAGUUCAUAGAACACCCUCUACACUAAAUCCCCCAAAGAGAACUCCCAGAAAUGUAACUGCAAAAUUCCAAAGCUUUCAAGCAAAAGAAAAAAUCCUACAAGAAGCCAAAAAGAGACGAUUUAGAUACAAAGGAGUGCCAAUCAGGAUCACACAAGACCUUGCAACUUCCACACUGAAUGACCACAAGGCCUGAAACAUGAUAUUCAGAAAGGCUAGAGAACUGGGUCUUCAACCAAGAAUCACCUCUCCCUCAAAACUGACUAUAUACUUCCAGGAGAAAGUAUGGGCAUUCAACAAAAUAGAAGAAUUCCAAGUAUUUGUAAAGAAAAGGCCAGAACUCUGUGGAACGUUUGAUAUCCAAACACAAAGAGCAAGAGAAACAUGAAAAAGUAAAUAUGAAGGAAA
rnacentral:lncRNA from 1 species